UCGGGUCUUACGCAGGCACCCGGUCCCAAAAGACGAUUUCGUCUCAAGCGCUGC
rnacentral:ncRNA from 1 species